AUCCAGCUGACGAGUCUCGAAUAAAACGUAACGCACGUCCUGGAU
rfam:Schistosoma curassoni strain Dakar, Senegal genome assembly, scaffold: SCTD_scaffold0001353